CCUACGGGAGGCAGCAGUGAGGAAUAUUGGUCAAUGGGCGCGAGCCUGAACCAGCCAAGUAGCGUGAAGGAUGACUGCCCUACGGGUUGUAAACUUCUUUUAUAAAGGAAUAAAGUGUGGCACGUGUGCCUUUUUGUAUGUACUUUAUGAAUAAGGAUCGGCUAACUCCGGGCCAGCAGCCGCGGUAAUACGGAGGAUCCGAGCGUUAUCCGGAUUUAUUGGGUUUAAAGGGAGCGUAGAUGGGUUGUUAAGUCAGUUGUGAAAGUUUGCGGCUCAACCGUAAAAUUGCAAUUGAUACUGGCAGACUUGAGUACAGUAGAGGUAGGCGGAAUUCGUGGUGUAGCGGUGAAAUGCUUAGAUAUCACGAAGAACUCCGAUUGUGAAGGCAGCUUACUGGACUGCCACUGACAUUGAUGCUCGAAAGUGUGGGUAUCAAACAGGAUUAGAUACCCCAGUAGUC
rnacentral:rRNA from 1 species